rnacentral:misc_RNA from 1 species
GAUGAAGAACGUAGCGAAAUGCGAUACGUAAUGUGAAUUGCAGAAUUCAGUGAAUCAUCGAAUCUUUGAACGCAUAUUGCGCUCUCUGGUAUUCCGGAGAGCAUGCUUGUUUGAGUAUCAGUAAACACCUCAACUUCCAUAUCUUUUUUGAAAUGGGAGUUGGACUUGAGUGAUCCCAACGCUUUUCCUCACCGAAAAGUGGCGGGUUACUUGAAAUGCAGGUGCAGCUGGACUUUUCUCUGAGCUAUAAGCAUAUCUAUUUAGUCUGCCUAAAAAACAGAUUAUUACCUUUGCUGCAGCUAACAUAAAGGAGAUUAGUUCUUGUGCUGACUGAUGCAGGAUUCACAAAGACAGGCUUCGGCCGACUUUGUAAACUCGAUCUCAAAUCAAGUAAGACUACCCGCUGAACUUAAGCAUAUCAAUACGGAGG